UGGGGAAUAUUGCACAAUGGGGGAAACCCUGAUGCAGCGACGCCGCGUGAGCGAAGAAGGUUUUCGAAUCGUAAAGCUCUGUCCUAUGAGAAGAUAAUGACGGUAUCAUAGGAGGAAGCCCCGGCUAAAUACGUGCCAGCAGCCGCGGUAAUACGUAUGGGGCGAGCGUUGUCCGGAAUUAUUGGGCGUAAAGGGUACGUAGGCGGUCUAUUAAGUCAGGUGUGAAAGCGUGAGGCUUAACCUCAUUAAGCACUUGAAACUGAUAGACUUGAGUGAAGGAGAGGAAAGUGGAAUUCCUAGUGUAGCGGUGGAAUGCGCAGAUAUCAGGAGGAACACCGAUGGCGAAGGCAGGUUACUGGGCCGUUACUGACGCUGAGGAGCGAAAGCAUGGGGAGCGAACAGG
rnacentral:rRNA from 1 species